UCUCGAUUCCAAUUCAAUAUAUAGGUUAGAAAUAUGAUAAAUAAAAUAUGCAAAGAAGUCACUGCCAUAGCCAUUUGGCUGUUGCAAUCAGUCUCCCAGCAGAAAUUGAGAAAAGGAAAAAAAACAAAGAUGGAAAAACAAAAACGUAGGGCUAUAAUCAAACAAAUGCCUUGAGACAUCCAAGACAAUCUUUGACAUACACAGGAUUCAAAUUCUAAACCAUCAACAAAAUCAUCACUGGGUAUAAAAAAAAGGACACGGUAAACACAGCAGAGCAUUGGCCGCAACAAUGUUGUCUUACAAGGAUGAUUGACUGCAAUGAUCAUCUCCAUGACAGCAACUAAAAAACAAGCUAAACAGAUAAUUUGAAAAGUAUCCAAGUUCACAAGACUACCACAUAAGCCAGCAUGAAAAUUCUAGGCAAAAUAAUCCUAAAUCAUUGCUAUAUUUGGAAGAGCCACCAAAACUCACAUUCAAAAGCCCCCCAUCAAAUAGAAGCUCCAGCUCCAGCAGCAGCAGAAUUCAACCUCCUGCCAAUUUCAGAAGACACAAAGGCAUCAAGACAAGCAUACUGAACCUGAUCAGGAGUAAGCCACGGAUUGUCCCACCUACUCAUUGUGACCCUCUUGGGCUUCUUAAUUUCCUUCCCCAAUACUUCCUUCACCAAAUCCUUCAACCCAGCAUUCUUCAACUCCUUCACUCCUAGCUUCUCCGCUGCCAAGCCCCUCAAAUCCACAGUAUUUCUCACGCUUAACCCAUAAUCCUCCACCAGCUUUUCAACAUCACUCUCAAUGCCAACCCCCACAAACACAAAAUUCCCAUUGAGAAGGAAUUCCACAAGAGAUUGUGGGACAGUAGGCGAAUGUAAGAGCUGAUAGAUGAGACAUCUGCGGCCAAUGCAGAGUUGUAGAGUAGCUAUUGGGUUCUCGAUACGGCGGUUGAAAUUAGGGCGCCACUCGACGUCCAGGCCAACGAUAGCAGGGUUUUGGUGAAUUUGUUGUUGGGUUUCGAUGAGCCAUUGGUCGACGAGGGAGGGAGCGUGGGUAACUAGAGUGUGGAUCUGAUCGGUGAAGAAGGUGACGUCGUAGAGAUUGUGAGUGUCGUUUGUGAGUUGGUGGUCUUUGAUGCUGAUUGUCAUCGCGCUGCGAACUGUGAGACAACCCAACAGGGGGUUUUUUCUGAGGGC
rnacentral:misc_RNA from 1 species